rfam:Trichuris muris Edinburgh genomic scaffold, scaffold233
CACAUAAGGGAAGUCGGCAAAACGGAUCCGUACCAUCGGAACAAGGAUUGGCUCUAAGGGCUGAACCGGUCGGGCUGAUGCUUCGAUGCGUGUGUGGUGCGGUCGCUGGCUGCCGGUUGGAGGAGCGGUCCGUCCGCCCGGCGUUGGGCUCCCGUCGAUUGCUUGAGCGACUCUGUCGCGUUGGGCAUCAGCGAUUCGGAUGCGCUUCGCCGGAGCGCGGUCCUUCUGAAGCCGCAGACGGUAACGAAGCCUGCACGCGGACGACUUCAGCUGUGUGUGCUUGUCGGUAACUGACAAGCCACUUCGUCCGGCAUUGAACAGCCGACUUAGAACUGGCACGGACCCGAGGAAUCGGACUGUAUAAUUAAAACAAAGCAUUGCGACGGCUGGUGAUCGGUGAAGAAGAAAUGCGCAUUUGGAGCGAAGACCGAGGAUAUUUGAAGAAAUUUCGUGGUAAUUUCCGCUAUGUG